rnacentral:rRNA from 1 species
AUUGAACGCUGGCGGCAGGCCUAACACAUGCAAGUCGAACGAGUGGCGGACGGGUGAGUAAUGUCUGGGAAACUGCCUGAUGGAGGGGGAUAACUACUGGAAACGGUAGCUAAUACCGCAUACCAUCGGAUGUGCCCAGCUGGGAUUAGCUAGUAGGUGGGGUAACGGCUCACCUAGGCGACGAUCCCUAGCUGGUCUGAGAGGAUGACCAGCCAAACUGGAACUGAGAAACGGUCCAGAAUCCUACGGGAGGCAGCAGUGGGGAAUAUUGCACAAUGGGCGCAGGCGUGAGGCAGCCAUGCCGGGUGUAUGAAGAAGGCCUUCGGGUUGUAAAGUACGUUAAGCGGGGAGGCGUUACCCGCAGAAGAAGCACCGGCUAACUCCGUGCCAGCAGCCGCGGUAAUAC